UACGUAGGGUGCAAGCGUUUGUCCGGAAUUAUUGGGCGUAAAGAGCUCGUAGGCGGUCUGUCGCGUCUGCUGUGAAAACCUAGGGCUUAACUCUGGGCGUGCAGUGGGUACGGGCAGGCUAGAGUGCGGUAGGGGAGACUGGAAUUCCUGGUGUAGCGGUGAAAUGCGCAGAUAUCAGGAGGAACACCGAUGGCGAAGGCAGGUCUCUGGGCAUUAACUGACGCUGAGGAGCGAAAGUGUGGGGAGCGAACAGG
rnacentral:rRNA from 1 species